AACAUGUCGAAAUCCGUACCAAAGAUAUGACGGUUUUGCCGGUUUAUUCACUCGGCAUUAGCGCUGCGCCGCAUUAGCAUGUUUUUCGGAUUAAUUACACGGAAAAGAUUAUUUGGAAGGUUGGACCCCUGUAUUUCAAAACUGCCAGGAGAUGUGAGGUAUUUGGAGUUUGCUGUGAAGGAUCUGAGAAACAGGUGUUUUACCUUGGUGAUGAGGGUGUUGCCCCAGGCAAAGGAGCAAACACAGUUGUCAGCUACCUCCACCAUUACCUUGAAAACUACGGCCUGGGUGAGGAACAUGCCCAGUUCCAUUUUGACAAUUGCCAAGGACAGAACAAAAAUAAUGCAGUUCUUGGUUAUGCUGUGUGGAGAACAUUGACGGGAGGGCAUAAGACAAUCCAAUAUUCAUUGAUGCUAGCCGGCCACACCAAAUUUCUCAUGUGAUUGGCAUUUUGGAGUGUGGAAAAACAGAUGGAGACACAUGGAUGCAGAGACAGUUGAGGAGGUGGCUUCCACAGUAGCAAUGUCAUCCCGUAAUGGCCACAACAUCCCCCAUAUUGUUGAUGGCAACAGCAAACCAGUGUUGUUCUAUGACUGGAGCACCUUCGUCAAAGGCAUGUUCAAACCAUUGAAGAACAUUUCGAAAUACCAUUCAUUUGAGGUGUCUUCUAACGAGCCUGGGGUUGUAAGAGUAAGGAAGUUUGUUGAUGCCCCUGAGGAGAAAAUUAACAUACUGAAAACCUGCCAAGUGGAUAUUUGUGUUAUGCCAGAGCAGAUCUUUGGUGAGGGAAUAAAUGCUGAAAGGCAAUGGUACUUGCAUGAUGUAAUAAGAGACUUUUGCAGAUCGGAUCAUGCUAAAAACACAACAUGCCCUUUGCCAUUAGUUGCAAAAGAAGGCUAUUCAAAGGCCAAAAAACAAAAGUUGAAAUAGGUAACUUUAUUGAGAACACUUUCUGUGUGUGUUUCAGCAAAAGGUAUAGUUUGUGUCUUGCUAUAAACAGAUUGGCAUGUAUAAGUUGAAGUUUUAUGUUUUCAUUUUCAUUCAAAGAAUAUAUUUCUUUGUGUAACAUUGAUAAAAUAUUUAUGAUUUUAGGAAUGUAUGGUUUCCAUGGCAACCAAAAGUAACAAACUUGAUUGAUC